GAGUCCGAUCGAAGUCUACCUGCAAUUAAAGUCAGGGACGAAGUCUGGCUCCCUUAGGAGUCCAGACGAAGCUUACCAGCAGUCGAGGUCGAGGACGGAGCCUGGCUCCUGUGGGAGUCUGGGCGAAGCUUUCCAGCAAUUGAGGUUGGGGACGAAGUCCGGCUCCCGUAGGAGUCCGAGUCUGUCGUUGGUGAAGUUCAGGCAUUGGCGAGGUCCGAGAUAGUUUGGAUUGGAGUUGAACCUGGC
rnacentral:lncRNA from 1 species